ACCCCAGUGGCCUAAUGGAUAAGGCACUGGCCUUCUAAGCCAGGGAUUGUGGGUUCGAGUCCCACCAUCUGGGGUG